AGACGUUCUUCGGCCGGCUCAACGACAUUCAAGUUGUCGCUACGGUCUGUGGUUGUCACACGGUAACGUCACAUUAAACUAAUAAACUUUUCACCAGCAAUGCAAAAAAUACACUUGAGGCAGCAAAGGUAAAAGAAGUCAACAGAAGAAAGCCAUGGAUGUGAUCUAUGACCUCAAAGUGCUGGACAUGGCCAGAAAUUCAGCAUUUUUCCUUCUGGUAAAAUUUCCAUUGCCGUGAAGAAAUAGCAAAAUGCUGAGGGAAGUCCCCAGCUCACUACUACCUCUCAGUACACUGUGACCACCGUGAUGCCCACCUCCACCCAGAAACCUGCCAGAAGCAACAGGGCUUCCACCUUCUCUCUCUGCUCCGUCUUGGUCAGAAUGCUUCUGGACUUGAAAAGUCUGGAAAUGACUGUAAAAACUCUGGUGUCCCUCCUCAAGCCUAACCUUCUUUGACUGAAGCCCAUGCACCACCGCAGACCUCAUCAGCCAUCCUCAUCCAUCUGACUGCGUCACCUGAGGCAGCCACAGAGUCCUCACCCACCUUUACACACCUUCGCGUACCCCCUGGGUCCUGGAUGACAGCACACUUUAAGCAUAAAACUAAAUGUUGUAAGUCUGUAAGUGGUACUGGUGAUGUUAAUUUCUAUUAAUUUUUUAAACUUUAGUUUUUAGAAGGUUAGCAAGUGUACUGCUUUUGUUGCUGCUAUCAUUAUUAUUAUUAUUAUUAUUAUUAUUAUUAUUAUUAUUAUUAUUAUUAUUAUUAUUAUUAUUAUUAUUAUUAAUAAAGUCAGGCCCUUCAUGUUGUUAUCUUUAUUAGGAUUGCUGUUGCUGCUAUUAUUAUUGUUGCUGCUGCUACAAAUGUUAUUUUUGUUUUAUUGUUGCUGUUGUUAUUAUUGUUGUUUUAAGGAUGUUAAAAAUAUAUCAAAUGGG